UACGGAAGGCAGCAGUGGGGAAUAUUGCACAAUGGGCGGAAGCCUGAUGCAGCGACGCCGCGUGGGGGAUGACGGCCUUCGGGUUGUAAACUCCUUUCGACAGGGACGAAGCUUUUUGUGACGGUACCUGUAUAAGAAGCACCGGCUAACUACGUGCCAGCAGCCGCGGUAAUACGUAGGGUGCGAGCGUUGUCCGGAAUUACUGGGCGUAAAGAGCUCGUAGGUGGUUUGUCGCGUCGUCUGUGAAAUUCCGGGGCUUAACUCCGGGCGUGCAGGCGAUACGGGCAUAACUUGAGUGCUGUAGGGGAGACUGGAAUUCCUGGUGUAGCGGUGAAAUGCGCAGAUAUCAGGAGGAACACCGAUGGCGAAGGCAGGUCUCUGGGCAGUUACUGACGCUGAGGAGCGAAAGCAUGGGUAGCGAACAGGAUUAGAUACC
rnacentral:rRNA from 1 species